AUCCUUUUAGUAUAAUAGUAUAUUUAACUUCCAAUUAAAAGGUUUGUUUUUCAAAAAGGAUA
rnacentral:tRNA from 1 species